CUCUACUAUUAUCUAGUAUUACUAUAUUUUUCCAUUAACAUAAAAAAGCAUAUUCUUUCUCAUUUUUAUUGAAUAAAUAAAAGUAAUAAAUAAGCAAAAUUUUCAUUUUUAUCUAUUUUCAAUUGAAUUUAAAUUGUAAAAAAAAAAACUUCAUAAAAGAUUAGGAAAAGUAAAAGUAUAUGAUAUAGAAACCUAUAAUAUAAAUGAAUACAAAUAAAAACAAACAAAUCGAACCAAACUAUAAAAAGUACUUGUUAUUUUUAAAGUUUAAAGAAACUAUGUAAGGCAAAUAGUACUAAAUAAAAAAAAAGGAGCAAUAACGCCCUCUUGUUUUAUCAAGAGGGAAGCUAUUGCUCCUUUUUUAGUUCAAAAACUCCUAUACAAUCAGACCAAAGUC
rnacentral:misc_RNA from 2 species